rnacentral:rRNA from 1 species
GGCCUGGCUGGACGGUCCGCCUUCCGGGCGAGCACUGUCUGUGGUCGGGUCCUACCUUCUGGCGAAGCGUCAUGGCCUUAACCGGCCGUGGCGGGGAACCAGGACUUUUACCUUGAGAAAAUUAGAGUGUUCAAAGCAGGCCUUUGCCUGAAUACAUUAGCAUGGAAUAAUAGAAUAGGACGUGCGGUUCUAUUUUGUUGGUUUCUAGAGUCGCCGUA